AUAAAAGCGAUGACAAGGAAGAAGUAGAAACUGUUCAAUCCUUAAAGAGAGUUGCCGGCUGGUGGAAGGUAACAGGAAUACAGUUUUGAAUACAUCCUUAAAGCUGCUCAUCAAAAGGAUUUAAUACUUUUAAAAGUCCGAGUAGGCUGAGCCGGCUGCCUGCACCCGUUACAGUGCUAGAGUAUAACUGCAUCUGUAGCGUACUUGAUAAGGUUGAUAUCGUGAGGUAUCAAUAAAUAAAGGUGGUAACACGGAGAAUAUCCGUCCUUUGA
rnacentral:ncRNA from 1 species